rnacentral:rRNA from 1 species
UACGUAGGGUGCAAGCGUUGUCCGGAAUUAUUGGGCGUAAAGAGCUCGUAGGCGGUGUGUCACGUCGUUCGUGAAAACCUGCAGCUUAACUGUGGGCGUGCGGUCGAUACGGGCAUCACUGGAGUUCGGCAGGGGAGACUGGAAUUCCUGGUGUAGCGGUGGAAUGCGCAGAUAUCAGGAGGAACACCGGUGGCGAAGGCGGGUCUCUGGGCAGUAACUGACGCUGAGGAGCGAAAGCGUGGGGAGCGAACAGG